rnacentral:rRNA from 1 species
UACGGGGGGAGCAAGCGUUGUUCGGAUUUACUGGGCGUAAAGGGCGCGUAGGCGGUCUGCUAAGUUCGGUGUGAAAGCCCCUGGCUCAACUGGGGAACUGCGCCGGAAACUGGCAGACUAGAGUACCGGAGAGGAGGGUGGAAUUCCUGGUGUAGCGGUGAAAUGCGUAGAUAUCAGGAGGAACACCGGUGGCGAAGGCGGCCCUCUGGACGGAUACUGACGCUGAGGCGCGAAAGCGUGGGGAUCAAACAGG